GUUAGCGGCGGACGGGUGAGUAACACGUGGGCAACCUACCUUAUAGUUUGGGAUAACUCCGGGAAACCGGGGCUAAUACCGAAUAAUCUAUUUUACUUCAUGGUGAAAUACUGAAAGACGGUCUCGGCUGGCGCUAUAAGAUGGGCCCCCGGCGCAUUAACUAAUUGGUGAGGGAACGGCUCACCAAGGCGACGAUGCGUAACCGACCUGAAAGGGUGAUCGGCCACACUGGGACUGAAACACGGCCCAAACUCCUACGGGAGGCAGCAGUAAGGAAUCUUCCACAAUGGGCGAAAGCCUGAUGGAACAACGCCGCGUGAGUGAAGAAGGGUUUCGGAUCGUAAAACUCUGGUGUAAGGGAAAAACAAGUACAGUAAUAACUGGCUGGACCUUGACGGUACCUUAUUAAAAAGCCACGGCUAACUACGUGCCAGCAGCCGCGGUAAUACGUAAGUGGCAAGCGUUGUCCGGAAUUAUUGGGCGUAAAGCGCGCGCAGGCGGUCCUUUAAGUCUGAUGUGAAAGCCCACGGCUCAACCGUGGAGGGUCAUUGGAAACUGGGGGACUUGAGUGCAGAAGAGGAAAGUGGAAUUCCAAGUGUAGCGGUGAAAUGCGUAGAGAUUUGGAGGAACACCAGUGGCGA
rnacentral:rRNA from 1 species